CAGCCGCCGCGGUAAUACAGAGGGUGCGAGCGUUAAUCGGAUUUACUGGGCGUAAAGAGUGCGUAGGCGGCUUCUUAAGUCGGAUGUGAAAUCCCUGAGCUUAACUUAGGAAUUGCAUUCGAUACUGGGAAGCUAGAGUAUGGGAGAGGAUGGUAGAAUUCCAGGUGUAGCGGUGAAAUGCGUAGAGAUCUGGAGGAAUACCGAUGGCGAAGGCAGCCAUCUGGCCUAAUACUGACGCUGAGGUACGAAAGCAUGGGGAGCAAACAGGAUUAGAUACCCCCGUAGUCCCUGUCUCUUAUAC
rnacentral:rRNA from 1 species